rfam:Salmo salar isolate Sally breed double haploid chromosome ssa23, whole genome shotgun sequence.
UCCCAUGUGGCUCAGUUGGCAGAGCAUGGAGCUUGCAACACCAGGGUUGUGGGAUCAAUUCCCACGGGGGAC